GGUGGUGUCGUCACCUUGUUUAGAUCCAGGUUCAGAAUGUCCUCUCUUUAGGGUAUUCAUUAAUGUUAGUGGGUGAUUUCAAUCGUAUCUUAAAUGUAGAGGAUAGAAAAGAGGCAAAUAUUUUAAGAUUAAUCAAGAAAUUAGAGAGUUUCAUACAUUCAUUAGGAACACUAGGCUUAUUGACCCUAGCUUCCAAAGGCCUCAAUAUACCUAGUGUAAUAAUCAGCUC
rnacentral:lncRNA from 1 species